rnacentral:rRNA from 1 species
GACGGAGGAGGCAAGCGUUGUUCGGAAUUACUGGGCUUAAAGCGCGUGUAGGCGGUCCGACAAGUGCCCUGUGAAAGCCCUUGGCUCAACUGAGGAACGGCAGGGCAAACUGUCGAACUGGAGGCAGGUAGGGGCGACUGGAACUCUAGGUGGAGCGGUGAAAUGCGUAGAUAUCUAGAGGAACGCCUGUGGCGAAAGCGGCCUCCUGGACCGAUACUGACGCUGAGACGCGAAAGCGUGGGGAGCAAACAGG